GGCGCGAUGGUAGAGUGGUUAAUACGCACGCCUGCUAAGCGUGUUCCUUCGGGAGCGCAGGUUCGAAUCCUGCUCGCGUCG